AACCGUGCAAAGGUAGCGUAAUCACUUGUCCCCUAAAUAGGGACCCGUAUGAAAGGUUGAUUGAGGACACAACUGUCUCUUGCGACCAAUCAAUGAAACUGAUCUCCCAGUACAAAAGCUGGAAUAAACGCAUAAGACGAGAAGACCCUGCGGAGCUUUAAGCUAUAGCACUGACACGACCACNCAAGCCCCAAACCCUGGACAUCACAUCAUGAAACAGUGCCAACUUUUAGUUGGGGCGACUGCGGAGAAAGACCAACCUCCAUGAAACCAGGCUAACCACCACCACAAGACCAACAAGUCACGCGGUUUAACCACUUGACCCAGCACAGCUGACUACCGAACCAAGUUACCCCAGGGAUAACAGCGCCAUCCCCUUCAAGAGUCCUUAUCGCCAAGGGGGCUUACGACCUCGAUGUUGGAUCAGGGCCCCCAGAUGGUGUAGCCGCUAUCGAAGGUUCGUUUGUUCAACGAUUAAUGCCCUACGUGAU
rnacentral:rRNA from 1 species